rnacentral:rRNA from 1 species
GACGAACGCUGGCGGCGUGCUUAACACAUGCAAGUCGAGCGGUAAGGCCCUUUCGGGGGUACACGAGCGGUGAACGGGUGAGUAACACGUGGGUGACCUGCCCUCAGCUCUGGGAUAAGCCUGGGAAACUGGGUCUAAUACUGGAUAUGACUCCACGGUGCAUGUCGUGGGGUGGAAAGCCUUGUGCGGCUGAGGAUGGGCCCGCGGCCUAUCAGCUUGUUGGUGGGGGAUGGCCUACCAAGGCGACGACGGGUAGCCGGCCUGAGAGGGCGACCGGCCACACUGGACUGAGACACGGCCAGACUCCUACGGGAGGCAGCAGUGGGGAAUCUUGCGCAAGUGGCGAAAGCCUGACGCAGCGACGCCGCGUGAGGAUGAC